UGGCGGACGGGUGAGUAAUGUCUGGGAAACUGCCUGAUGGAGGGGGAUAACUACUGGAAACGGUAGCUAAUACCGCAUAACGUCGCAAGACCAAAGAGGGGGACCUUCGGGCCUCUUGCCAUCGGAUGUGCCCAGAUGGGAUUAGCUAGUAGGUGGGGUAACGGCUCACCUAGGCGACCGAUCCCUAGCUGGUCUGAGAGGAUGACCAGCCACACUGGAACUGAGACACGGUCCAGACUCCUACGGGAGGCAGCAUG
rnacentral:rRNA from 1 species